rnacentral:rRNA from 1 species
CUACGGGCUGCACCAGUGGGGAAUAUUGCACAAUGGAGGAAACUCUGAUGCAGCAACGCCGCGUGGAGGAUGACACUUUUCGGAGCGUAAACUCCUUUUAUAUAGGAAGAAGAUGACGGUACUAUAUGAAUAAGCGCCGGCUAACUCCGUGCCAGCAGCCGCGGUAAUACGGAGGGCGCAAGCGUUACUCGGAAUCACUGGGCGUAAAGAGCGUGUAGGCGGAUUAAAAAGUCAGAAGUGAAAUCCUAUAGCUUAACUAUAGAACUGCUUCUGAAACUCUUAAUCUAGAAUAUGGGAGCGGUAGAUGGAAUUUCUGGUGUGGGGGUAAAAUCCGUAGAGAUCAGAAGGAAUACCGAUUGCGAAGGCGAUCUACUAGAACAUUAUUGACGCUGAGACGCGAAAGCGUGGGGAGCAAACAGGAUUAGAUACCCCCGUAGUC